GCUCCUUUGGCUCAGUUGGUAGAGCGUAGGUCUCAUAAUCCUAAGGUCGUGAGUUCGAAUCUCACAGGGAGCA